rfam:Triticum aestivum genome assembly, contig: Triticum_aestivum_CS42_TGACv1_scaffold_513199_6BS
UUUGUACUCCCUCCGUCCCGAAAUACUUGUCGCAUAAAUAGAUGAAAUUGGAUGUAUCUAGAACUAAAAUGUGUCUAGAUACAUCCAUUUCCCCGACAAGUAUUUCCGGACGGAGGGAGUAUUAU